rnacentral:rRNA from 1 species
GACGAACGCUGGCGGCGUGCUUAACACAUGCAAGUCGAGCGGAAAGGCCACUUCGGUGGUACUCGAGCGGCGAACGGGUGAGUAACACGUGAGUAAUCUGCCCUUGGCUUUGGGAUAGCCACCGGAAACGGUGAUUAAUACCGGAUACGACCACUUCUCGCAUGGGAUGGUGGUGGAAAGUUUUUCGGCCAGGGAUGUGCUCGCGGCCUAUCAGCUUGAUGGUGAGGUAAUGGCUCACCAUGGCUUCGACGGGUAGCCGGCCUGAGAGGGUGACCGGUCACACUGGGACUGAGACACGGCCCAGACUCCUACGGGAGGCAGCAGUGGGGAAUAUUGGACAAUGGGCGGAAGCCUGAUCCAGCAACGCCGCGUGAGGGAUGACGGCCUUCGGGUUGUAAACCUCUUUCGGUAGGGACGAAGCGUGAGUGACGGUACCUACUAAAGAAGCACCGGCCAACUACGUGCCAGCCGCCGCAGUAAGAC